CCUACGGGAGGCAGCAGUGGGGGAUAUUGUACAAUGGCGGAAACCCUGAUGCAGCGACGCCGCGUGGGCGAAGACGUAUUUCGGUAUGUAAAGCCCUAUCAGCAGGGAAGAAGUAAUUACGGUACCUAAGUAAGAAGCACCGGCUAAAGACGUGGCAGCAGCCGAGGUAAUACGGAUGGUGCAGGCGUUAACCGGAUUUACUGGGUGUAAAGGGAGUGCAGGGGGUACGGGGAGCUUGAUGGGAAAGCCCGGGGGCCACCCGCAGGACUGCAAUGAGAACUGCCAGGCUCGAGUGCCGGUGAGGUAGGCGGAAUAAGUAAAGUAGCGGUGAAAUGCGUAGAUAUUAGGUAGAACACCGGUGGCGAAGGCAGCCUACCAGACGGCGACUGACGCUGAGGCACGAGAGCGUGGGGAGCGAACAGGAUUAGAUACCCCUGUAGUC
rnacentral:rRNA from 1 species